rnacentral:rRNA from 1 species
CCUACGGGAGGCUGCAGUGAGGAAUAUUGGUCAAUGGUCGGGAGACUGAACCAGCCAAGCCGCGUGAGGGAUGAAGGUACAGAGUAUCGUAAACCUCUUUUGUCAUGGAACAAAGGCGGGGACGUGUCCCCGGCUGAGUGUACCUGAAGAAAAAGCAUCGGCUAACUCCGUGCCAGCAGCCGCGGUAAUACGGAGGAUGCGAGCGUUAUCCGGAUUUAUUGGGUUUAAAGGGUGCGCAGGCGGUCUGUUAAGUCAGCGGUCAAAGCCCGGGGCUCAACCCCGGCCCGCCGUUGAAACUGGCAGUCUCGAGUUGGAGAGAAGUAUGCGGAAUGCGCGGUGUAGCGGUGAAAUGCAUAGAUAUCGCGCAGAACUCCGAUUGCGAAGGCAGCAUGCCGGCUCCACACUGACGCUGAGGCACGAAAGCGUGGGUAUCGAACAGGAUUAGAUACCCCUGUAGUC